AUUGCGAUAAGCUGCGGUGAGCCGUUGAGCAGGCUUUGACCCGCAGAUUUCCUAAUGGGGCAACCCAUCUGGUCUAAAACCAGAUAUCUUUGGAUGAAUUCAUAGUCCAAAGAAGCGAUACGGGGUGAAGUGAAACAUCUCAGUAACCCCAGGAAAAGAAAACGAAGUGAUUCCGUAAGUAGUGGCGAGCGAAAAGCGGAACAGCCUAAACCAUGAUGACUUGUCAUCGUGGGGUUGUGGGACUUCAACGUGGACCUCUAAGAGCGAGCUUAACGAUUUGGAACAAUCGACCAAAGACCGUGAUAGUCGGGUGAGCGAAGUUUGAGGGGCCUAGAAGUAUCCAAGUAAUGCGGUGCACGUGAAACUCUGCAUGAAUCUGUCCAGACCACUGGAUAAGGCUAAAUACUAACUGGCAACCGACAGUGAACAAGUACCGUGAG
rnacentral:rRNA from 1 species